rnacentral:rRNA from 1 species
GAUGAACGCUGGCGGCGUGCCUAAUACAUGCAAGUCGAACGAACAGACGAGGAGCUUGCUCCUCUCACGUUAGCCGAGCGCGGGUGAGUCACGCGUGUAUAACCUACCUGUCAGACUGGGAUCACUUCGAGACACCGGAUCUAAUACCAUAUAACAUCUUGAACCGCGUUGUUCGAUAGUGAGAGUCGGUGUUGGUGGCUCGUAUCGCUGGAUCCGGGCCGGAUUAGCUAGUUGUUACGGUCACGGCUUACCAAGGGUACCAGGCGUAGCCGAGCGGAGGGGGGGAUCGGCCACAUUGGAACUGAGACACGGUCCAGACGCCUACGGGAGGCAGCAGUAGGGAACCUGACGCAGUGGUCGAAAGCAUGACGGAGCAAGGGCGCGUGAGUGACGAAGGUCUUCGGAUCGUAAAACCCUGUUACUAGGGAAGAACAAAUGUGUAAGUAACUAUGCCCGGAGUGACGGUACCGAAUAAGAAAGCAACGGCUAACUACGUG